AUUGAACGCUGGCGGCAGGCCUAACACAUGCAAGUCGAGCGAGCGGCGGACGGGUGAGUAAUGUCUGGGACACUGCCUGAUGGAGGGGGAUAACUACUGGAAACGGUAGCUAAUACCGCAUACCAUCAGCUGUGCCCAGAUGGGAUUAGCUGGUAGGUGGGGUAACGGCUCACCUAGGCGACGAUCCCUAGCUGGUCUGCGAGGAUGACCAGACACACGGGAACUGAGAAACGGUCCAGACUCCUACGGGAGGCAUCAGUGGGGAAUAUUGCACAAUGGGCGCAAGCCUGAUGCAGCCAGGCCGCGGUGGUGAAGAAGGCCUUCGGGUUGUAAAGCACUUUCAGCGGGGAGGCGUGACCCGCAGAAGAAGCACCGGCUAACUCCGUGCCAGCAGCCGCGGUAAUUC
rnacentral:rRNA from 1 species